AGCAGCCGCGGUAAUUCCAGCUCCAAUAGCGUAUAUUAAAGUUGUUGCAGUUAAAAAGCUCGUAGUUGAAUUUCGAGACCGGUUUACUGGUCGUGCUUUUGUACGUACUGGUAUUAUUGGUUUCUCCUUUCUGACGAAUCUUAAUGCCAUUAAUUUGGUGUUUUGGGGAAUCAGGACUGUUACUUUAGAAAAAAUUAGAGUGUUUAAAGCAGGCUCACGCUUGAAUACAUUAGCAUGGAAUAACGAAAUAGGACGUUUGAUUUUAUUUUGUUGGUUUCUAGGAUCGACGUAAUGAUUAAUAGGGAUAGUUGGGGGCAUUAGUAUUCAAUUGUCAGAGGUGAAAUUCUUGGAUUUAUUGAAGACUAACUACUGCGAAAGCAUUUGCCAAGGAUGUUUUCAUUAAUCUAAGAACGAAAGUUAGGGGAUCGAAGACGAUCAGAUACCGUCGUAGUCUUAACCAUAAACUAUGCCGACUAGGGAUCGGAUGAUGUUAAUUUUUAAUGACUCAUUCGGUGCCUUA
rnacentral:rRNA from 1 species